rnacentral:rRNA from 1 species
GUCCAUGCCGUAAACGAUGUCUACUAGCCGUUGGGGUCUUUGAGACUUUAGUGGCACAGCUAACGCGAUAAGUAGACCGCCUGGGGAGUACGGUCGCAAGACUAAAACUCAAAUGAAUUGACGGGCGCCCGCACAAGCGGUGGAGCAUGUGGUUUAAUUCGAUGCAACGCGAAGAACCUUACCUGGUCUUGACAUAGUAAGAACUUUCCAGAGAUGGAUUGGUGCCUUCGGGAGCUUACAUACAGGUGCUGCAUGGCUGUCGU